AAAGGAAUAGACGGGGGCCCGCACAAGCGGUGGAGGAUGUGGUUUAAUUCGACGCAACGCGAAGAACCUUACCAGGGCUUGACAUCCAGUGAAUCAUUGAGAAAUCAGUGAGUGCCUUCGGGAGCACUGAGACAGGUGGUGCAUGGCUGUCGUCAGCUCGUGUCGUGAGAUGUUGGGUUAAGUCCCGCAACGAGCGCAACCCUCGAAUUUAGUUGCCAUCAUUAAGUUGGGCACUCUAGAUUGACUGCCGGUGACAAACCGGAGGAAGGUGGGGAUGACGUCAAGUCAUCAUGCCCCUUACGUCCUGGGCUACACACGUCCUACAAUGGCUGGUACAGAGGGCAGCGAAGCCGCGAGGUGUAGCGAAUCCCAGAAAGCCAGUCUCAGUUCGGAUUGCAGGCUGCAACUCGCCUGCAUGAAGUCGGAAUCGCUAGUAAACGCAGAUCAGCACGCUGCGUUGAAUACGUUCCCGGGCCUUGUACACACCGCCCGU
rnacentral:rRNA from 1 species